rfam:Aedes aegypti strain Liverpool supercont1.202 genomic scaffold, whole genome shotgun sequence.
GGCUCGGUAGCUUAGUUGGUAAAGCGCUCGUCUAGCAUACAAGAGUCCUGGGUUCAAAUCCCAGCCGAACAC